rnacentral:rRNA from 1 species
UACGUAGGGGCCAAGCGUUGUCCGGAAUCAUUGGGCGUAAAGAGCUCGUAGGCGGUUUGGUAAGUCGGAUGUGAAAUCUCCACGCUCAACGUGGAGCGGCCAUCCGAUACUGCCCUGACUCGAGUCCGGCAGGGGAGUGUGGAAUUCCCGGUGUAGCGGUGAAAUGCGCAGAUAUCGGGAGGAACACCAGUAGCGAAGGCGGCACUCUGGGCCGGUACUGACGCUGAGGAGCGAAAGCGUGGGGAGCGAACAGG